AUCUAUACGUAAAGCCAGAAGUGAGAAGUGACGCAGUGCAGCGUCGAAGCAGGCAGAAGAUCCAUCUUUCCAACUAAAGUGCCGAACCUUUCUCAGCAUCUCUUUCUCUCUCCCUCUCUCUAUAUCUACUUCUCAGCCUCUGAUAAUCACCUGAACAACCACCCUGCAGUGUUCAACUUCUGACAGGGCAAGUGAAAGGUCAUUUACUCAAUGCUAAACCCAAACCGAACAUUAUAUCCCAUUUUAUGGACAUAGAUUAUCAUCAGAAUUCGGGUUCAGAUUCAGGAAUUGCAUCAAUGGAUUUCUAACAUGUGCCGUGGACUCCUGCAACAACAUUGAAAGGUGAAAAGGUGCCCAACAGACAGCACCCCAACAUUUUUAUUAUCUAAAUGGGGAGAAAAUUCACAAGUUUGAAGAGCAAAGAGACUUAGGAGUUCUAGCCCAGGAUU